rnacentral:rRNA from 1 species
AUUGAACGCUGGCGGCAGGCCCAACACAUGCAAGUCGAGCGGCAGCGGGUCCUUCGGGAUGCCGGCGAGCGGCGGACGGGUGAGUAAUGCCUAGGAAUCUGCCUGGUAGUGGGGGAUAACGUUCGGAAACGGACGCUAAUACCGCAUACGUCCUACGGGAGAAAGUGGGGGAUCUUCGGACCUCACGCUAUCAGAUGAGCCUAGGUCGGAUUAGCUAGUUGGUGGGGUAAAGGCUCACCAAGGCGACGAUCCGUAACUGGUCUGAGAGGAUGAUCAGUCACACUGGAACUGAGACACGGUCCAGACUCCUACGGGAGGCAGCAGUGGGGAAUAUUGGACAAUGGGCGAAAGCCUGAUCCAGCCAUGCCGCGUGUGUGAAGAGGGUCUUCGGAUUGUAAAGCACUUUAAGUUGGGAGGAAGGGCAGCUAGUUAAUACCUGGUUGUUUUGACGUUACCGACAGAAUAAGCACCGGCUAACUUCGUGCCAGCCGCCGCCGUAACAC